CCUACGGGCGGCAGCAGUAGGGAAUAUUGCUCAAUGGGGGAAACCCUGAAGCAGCAACGCCGCGUGGAGGAUGAAGGUUUUCGGAUUGUAAACCCCUUUUGUUAGAGAAGAUAAUGACGGUAUCUAACGAAUAAGCACCGGCUAACUCCGUGCCAGCAGCCGCGGUAAAACGGAGGGUGCAAGCGUUACUCGGAAUCACUGGUCGUAAAGAGCGCGUAGGCGGGAUAGCAAGUCAGAUGUGAAAUCCUACGGCUUAACCAUAGAACUGCAUUUGAAACUGUUAUUCUAGAGUAUGGGAGAGGUAGGUAGAAUUCUUGGUGUAGGGGUAAAAUCCGUAGAGAUCAAGAGGAAUACUGAUUGCGAAGGCGACCUGCUGGAACAAGACUGACGCUGAUGCGCGAAAGCGUGGGGAGCAAACAGGAUUAGAUACCCCUGUAGUC
rnacentral:rRNA from 1 species